rnacentral:rRNA from 1 species
GGACUACUGGGGUUUCUAAUCCCGUUCGCUCCCCUAGCUGUCGUCCCUGAGCGUCAGGUGAGUGCCAGGAGACUGCCUGCGCCUUCGGUGUUCUUCCGGAGCUCUACGCAUUUCACCGCUCCACCCGGAAUUCCGUCUCCCUCUCACUCCCUCAAGUCUCGCCGUCUUCCAGGGCCUUUCCCAGUUAAGCCGGGAACUGUCACCCGAAACUGACGUGACCGCCUGCGGACCCUUUACGCCCAGUAACUCCGGACAACGCUCGCCCCCUACGUCUUACCGCGGCUGCUGGCAC